CUGCUGCGGCGGAGAAACGGAGGCCAGCGCGGGGAGCGGAAGCCGGAGCCUGUCGGGAGUAACCCCGGGAAGGCCAGUCCCUCCUGCCGGAGGGAGGCGUGUUGGGUGCGGCCGGUGGCGGGAUCGAUGGCCACCUGGUAGGCGAUGGUAAGCGGCAGUGGCCUGCGCCAAGGUAGCCCCCGGGGGGCGGUGUGUGGCGCCCGGACCCGCACCCUCUGCUCCCGGGGGUGGAGCUGACCUGCUUGCCCGCGGUUGGGCUCGGGAGCCUGCGGGCCGCGGCCAGGAGGGAGCUGGCUGGCCGUCCCGGCGGUGGGGGCUGUGGCGGUGGCCGUCCCGCGGGUGUGCCCGUGCUCGGAUCGAUGAUGACACCCACAAACGCAUUCCUUGGAAAAUCUGAACAAAAUGAGUGAGAACUCACUACCGUCUCCUCAUCGCAAACUGAGGUCCAGCACGUGGCUCCCACAGGGGACGUCGGGGGACGUCCCGUUGCCUUGGCUCCCUUGGCUGCUGCGGCGGAGAAACGGAGGCCAGCGCGGGGAGCGGACGCCGGAGCCUGUCGGGAGCAACCCCGGGAAGGCCAGUCCCUCCUGCCGGAGGGAGGCGUGUUGGCGUGCGGCCGGUGGCGGGAUCGAUGGCCACCUGGUAGGCGAUGCUGCUGCGGCGGAGAAACGGAGGCCAGCGCGGGGAGCGGAAGCCGGAGCCUGUCGGGAGCGACCCCGGGAAGGCCAGUCCCUCCUGCCGGUGGGAGGCGGGUUGGCGAGCGGCCGGUGGCGGGAUCGAUGGCCACCUGGUAGGCGAUGGUAAGCGGCAGUGGCCUGCGCCAAGGUAGCCCCCGGGGGGCGGUGUGUGGCGCCCGGACCCGCACCCUCUGCUCCCGGGGGUGGAGCUGACCUGCUUGCCCGCGGUUGGGCUCGGGAGCCUGCGGGCCGCGGCCAGGAGGGAGCUGGCUGGCCGUCCCGGCGGUGGGGGCUGUGGCGGUGGCCGUCCCGCGGGUGUGCCCGUGCUCGGAUCGAUGAUGACACCCACAAACGCAUUCCUUGGAAAAUCUGAACAAAAUGAGUGAGAACUCACUACCGUCUCCUCAUCGCAAACUGAGGUCCGGCACGUGGCUCCCACAGGGGCCGUCGGGGGAGGGUCCCGUUGCCUUGGCUCCCUUGGGUGCGUGCAGCCCUGGGGCGCAGGUGGGGGCAGGCAGGCCUCCGGU
rnacentral:lncRNA from 1 species